GCAGCCCCUCGGCGGCCGGGCCCGAAAGAAAUACAGAUGCAAAAGCAGGACGUGGGUAAAUGAGAGAAGAUAAGGUAUUGCUCCUGCAAGCAGAACAUCCUGUCUUCAAAGUGGAAAGACCUCUGUGCUUUUGUGGACUUCAUGGCCUGCCAGAUGGAGACGGCUCCAAGUAACACUGAGAUCUUAUUGCUGCAGAAAACCAAGGAGAGCUAUAACCCCAAGUACUGCAGGUGUAGGAGGGAGUACUUGCUUGGAUGAUGAUUCAUGUCAGCAUCUGAAUAAAUAAGGUCAGACAGCCA